rnacentral:lncRNA from 1 species
AGUUGAUAGAAGGAGUUUAUGAAGUUCGAUUACAGGUUGGAGUACCAGUGAUGAGCCGCCUUCCUCAGAGUUGAAGGAAAAGCUUGAUAGAGAGUCACAUCAUUGGCUCCUUGUAGAAGUAUCAGAGUUCGAAAAUGUUGGAUGUAUGCCCUAGAAGCCAAUCUUGGCUGACACAUAUCAUAUUUUCAGAAUAUGAUUUUAUACUUUAUAGGU